AUUGAACGCUGGCGGCAUGCCUUACACAUGCAAGUCGAACGGUAACGGGCCUUCGGGUGCCGACGAGUGGCGAACGGGUGAGUAAUGUAUCGGAACGUACCUUUCAGUGGGGGAUAACGUAGCGAAAGUUACGCUAAUACCGCAUAUUCUGUGAGCAGGAAAGCAGGGGAUCGCAAGACCUUGCGCUGAUUGAGCGGCCGAUAUCAGAUUAGCUAGUUGGUGAGGUAAAAGCCCACCAAGGCGACGAUCUGUAGCGGGUCUGAGAGGAUGAUCCGCCACACUGGAACUGAGACACGGUCCAGACUCCUACGGGAGGCAGCAGUGGGGAAUUUUGGACAAUGGGGGCAACCCUGAUCCAGCCAUGCCGCGUGAGUGAAGAAGGCCUUCGGGUUGUAAGGCUCUUUCGGCCGGGAAGAAAUCGUAUCAGCUAAUACCUGGUGCGGAUGACGGUACCGGCAUAAGAAGCACCGGCUAACUACGUGCCAGCCGCCGCGGUAAGAC
rnacentral:rRNA from 1 species